rnacentral:misc_RNA from 1 species
ACCUGUGCACCCUCUGUAGGCCCUCGUAGAGAGGAUCUAUGUUAUUCUAUAAUCUACUCUAUCGCAUGUCCAGAACGUAUACAUACAAACUUUUACAACUUUCAGCAACGGAUCUCUUGGCUCUCGCAUCGAUGAAGAACGCAGCGAAUUGCGAUAAGUAAUGUGAAUUGCAGAUUUUCAGUGAAUCAUCGAAUCUUUGAACGCACCUUGCGCUCCUUGGUAUUCCGAGGAGCAUGCCUGUUUGAGUGUCAUGGAAUUCUCAACCGUGUCUCGAUCUGAUCUCGAGGCAUGGCUUGGACUUGGGAGUUGCUGGCGGCCUCGUCAGCUCUCCUCAAACACAUUAGCGACGUUCAGCAAGCCUGACGUGCACUGGCCUUUUUUCGACGUGAUAACGAUCGUCGUGGGCUGGAGCGUAGGGUGAGCGGUGAAUCGCUUCCAAUUCCUUAGACUUAUCAUGGUCUUUUCGAUCUCGAUCUUGAUGGGGGGGAAACUUUUGACCUUCGAGAGACCCGAGCCUUAGUUACUAGUCGGUCGUGAGGCCAACGAACGCAGGGCCUAGGUUUGAAACUUUGAAGCAAUCGCAAUUCCCUCUGU